rnacentral:rRNA from 1 species
AUUGAACGCUGGCGGCAUGCCUUACACAUGCAAGUCGAACGGUAACAGGUCUUCGGAUGCUGACGAGUGGCGAACGGGUGAGUAAUACAUCGGAACGUGCCUAGUAGUGGGGGAUAACUACUCGAAAGAGUGGCUAAUACCGCAUGAGAUCUACGGAUGAAAGCAGGGGAUCGCAAGACCUUGUGCUACUAGAGCGGCCGAUGGCAGAUUAGGUAGUUGGAGGGAUAAAAGCUUACCAAGCCGACGAUCUGUAGCUGGUCUGAGAGGACGAUCAGCCACACUGGGACUGAGACACGGCCCAGACUCCUACGGGAGGCAGCAGUGGGGAAUUUUGGACAAUGGGCGAAAGCCUGAUCCAGCAAUGCCGCGUGCAGGAUGAAGGCCUUCGGGUUGUAAACUGCUUUUGUACGGAACGAAAAGCCCCGGGUUAAUACCCUGGGGUCAUGACGGUACCGUAAGAAUAAGCACCGGCUAACUACGUGCCAGCCGCCGCGGUAAC